GGGAAAUAGUGUAUGCUGUAUUUGUUCAAAUCCGAAUGUAACACACCUCUUUGUCUUGCAAACCACAUUGUCAGGCGGUCUGCUAUAUUAGGAUGUUGACAUCUGUGUCAGGAUGUGUCAGAACACACACACACACAUACAUGCAUGCACACACGCAUGCACUAAUAAUCUUACCAGAUACAUAUCAGCAUGUGUUUCCAAUGGAGGUGUUGCCUAACCUGUAUUGUGUCUGAGUAUGUGCACAUCCCCGAGGUCACAGGGCAUAGCAAAGCAAAUGGUGAAUGCACUAGCACACAUCCUGCCAUACACACACACACACACACACACACACACACACACACACACACACACACACACACACACACACACACACACACACACACACACACACAUACUAUAUCCAAGCAUGUUGUUUUGAAUCCCCUCUGUCUUGCAUGUCAUACAGAAGAGAAGAGAUAUCUUUACAUUCCAAUGAUGUCAUUUCUACUCUUCCUUCCCAUGGCCUCAUUGGUUAUUACAUAAGCCUACAUAAAUAAGGAAGGAGAAUUAGUGAGAGAUGAUGGUAAAAUAGUAGAAAGGGGGUGGGGGUAGCCUCAAUGUUAGAGACACAGAUUUCUAAUGUAAGAUCAGUAGAAUGAAAUCACACAGACCAGCUGGAGAAAGUAAAUUAAUAAAACACACUUUCUCCCUCAGCAACUACAAUUGCACUCCAAAUUUCUCUACUGGAACUCUACAGGACAAAAGUGGAGCUUAAGCGAAAAUUCCUUCAGGACGACGACUUAAACAUAAUCAACACUUCUCACUCCCCUGAAUGGAACAGCUGUUGAGUUGCCAUUUCAGGAUACGAGCACCACCCUCCUCCUCCCCUGCUCUUCCAGUCUUCGCCCCUCACGGCUCCUGGGUCCUCUUCCUGCAGGCCUCUCCCGGCGGCCUUCGCCGUUGGUCUUUGGGCUCCUCACGCCACCAUCAGUGUCUAGACUCCAUCGGGGGGUUCAUACUUCGGCUUCUACCCCUUUUAAAAGUUUCUCAGAAUUUUUAAAUGAUGUUGGAGUCUAAUCUCCAAAGACUGUACUGUACAUUUCACGCACAUGUACAAUAAAUCAUUACAUAUCUGCAA